AUCUUCCCUAUAGCUUCCAGCCACCUGCGGCUCAGUUCAGCGUUACCUGCCAAGCACACCUGCAAGUACUAGCAAUAACUGCCCAUCUGGUUAAUCACCACCUUCUCCAGCAUUCAAAGUACAGAUCCACAGAAGCCAAAUCCUUCCCUGGUGACCUCCAUGGCAACAGGUGAUUCCCAGCAUCACAGUGGACCUGGCCAGACCAUGCCAAUUCAGCAAGUUUUGGUCGCAGUUCAACGACUCACCUUGUUCCACUCCCAUCUUCCUAAAGUCAUGCCAACAAGUAGCCUGGUGGCUUAGAGUUGAGUUGAAGACCACAUCACUGUGAGCCAUAGGAAUAGCAGACCAUCAUCUAGUGUUUGGUAGCUUUAGUACGAUUUCACAGAUGAGAGACUCUGGAAGCAAACCUCAGGCUCUCAGAGGAAGGCAUGAGGGUCUCCAGGGAAGAGGCAGCGAGGGCUCUCAGAGUCAAGGCAUGGAAGAAGCCAGCUAGAAGCUGACCUGUCAUCUCACCCCACAUCCAGCAACCUUGACGGAGGUGAAAUUUAAGCACUUGCAUGGAAGCAAAGGGAUACGAAAUACUUCUGAGGCAAAACUGGAGAGGCAACAAACAGCCUUGUGAUGCAACUGCACCUGUCUCGGCUACGCGUUACUAUGGAGACACUCCAGUUGCUAUAGCUACCAUCACGCUAAUCGCCUAGCAAACGCAGACAUACAGCAGUCUUCUCAGAGAGCCCAGCUGUUCCUCCCCGUCUCUUGCUGAAGACUGAUUGUCUAGGGCCUGUGAUGGAAUGCUUCUCGGCUGAGAGGCACAAGAACUUCAUUAAUGCCAUUUUGGAGGAUCACUUUGUGCUGCCUCCUGCAGAACCAGCAUCAGACCAGGAGAAGCAUCUGCGAGAAGGGGACUAUAAAACUCCAGAAAUCUCUUGACACCAUGCCACUCCCAGUUAACAUAAACGUGUAGUCCAAGGACAAGUUCUCUUGACUAGGGUAGCUGCCACAAAAACAUUUCUAUACAUACAUUUCUAACAUAAUUUUGAAAUAUUGAGGGAUGCACUUAGGACCCAAGCACCAUGUGUAGAUAAAAUCCACUUUAAAAUGCUGUUUCAUGUCAUAUGUCUCUUUCUUUGAAUCUAACAUUAAUAUGCUUUUUCCAAAAAAAAAGACAAUCUACAUAACCCUUCACUCUGAUUAUAUAUUUGUAAAAAUGGCACUCAUGACCUCAACCUCCCAAAACAUGGGAGUGAGGAGAGCAGAGGUCUCCAUUGUCCCCUGCAGUUCCUGAAGAAGCAAACACCAAGUAACCACAACAAACCCAUCACUUAGGAGCACCGUCUACAUGGAGACCAGGAAAGACAACAACCCAGCAAGCCUUCUCACAAGGCCAGCAGACCCUGCUCAGGGCAGGGGAAGAUGGCAUCGCUCGCCUGACUCAUUCCUGUAUAUGUUUAUCCCAACAAAACGUGACACCCAGAGAUAUGAAAGCUGUCAGCUUUUCUUUGUAAAUGUUUCUACUCAGGAAGACAAUAUUUUACCACCAUGAAGCCUUCUGGAAACACUGUUCCUCGGGAGGAGCAGAAGCGGUAAGGUUUGCAGGAAAUACAACAAUGGAUAUGCCUACUAAUAAUAUUUCAUUUCUUUCUCAUUUAUCUGCAGUUAUUUUUGAAACCUCACGCAGCCUAUGAAAUUAGCUGCAGUGCCUGCCUUUGCCAAAAUAAAGCAACUUCAGUAGAUCCCCCCAAAAGAAAGAAGCACCCAUGAAAAUACUAUCAAUAACACCAGCAAACAGGGCAACCAGAAAUCAUCAAUUUUGCAGCUCUGAGAACAGGGGAAUGGCACAAAGCCAGGGUCACAGGCUGGCACCUGGGGCCACCCCAGGCACCCAGCUCCAGCUGCAGUUCCGACCCCAGACACAGGUCUGGCUCAGGUGGGCCUAUGUUAUGAUAAACGCCAAGGUUCCCAGCUUAAUCAUCUGGAUGUUGAAAGCCUGGAAGACUUCAACCAUGGAAAAUACAACAGUCCUAUCCUGGCCUUCCCUUUCAUGCAUUCAUUUUCAAAUUCAGAAGAGUUCGGGGACCUGAUGAGAUUUUCCAUAUAAAACUGGCAGGCUACCCAGGAAUAUGCCCCGGAGCUUCCAUCUUUCCCUGUGGAAAAAAGCUGUGCAGCACACUUUUUAAAGAAAGCCAAAAGGUAAGGAGUGGGGAGGUGUAGGGAGGGGCAAGGGAGAGCAGGAUUUAGCACAAGUGGAUAAAGUAAACAAACCGCCAAGGCAUGGCAAGCUCCUAGAGCAUGGCGGGGCUGGCCUGACCCCACCAUCAAAGGCUCCUCUGGAGCCCUGGGCCAGGGGACUUCCCUUCCGGUACCAUACAGCAUGGUCUAAACUGCACGGAGGGCCUGUCUGCAAUCCAAACAUUUCUGCAAUGAGAUUGUCUCACUUCUGGAAACCUAAGAGCUUUGGGUUUUAUCACAGUGGCUCUCAGACUAGAGGAAUUUAAUCUUACACCAAAAAUCCAAGGACAAAGCAAAGAAGGACAACUGGCCCUCUCAGGUAAGUAAUGAUAAGCCAAUGGUUCACUAUGAUUCACUACUGUUUAAAAACUAGAUGGAGUAAAUCCCCAGAUUUGUGCAGAACUGUCACACAGUAACUGAUCCAGGUGCAGAGGGACAGGCAGGGAAAUGGUAAGAACAGGUGGUCUGGGACCUCAGAAAGUCAUGGCUUCCUCACUGGUGGAGACAUAUACAAAGCCCAGGAUGGCAAGACACAAAAUCCUACCACAGUGGCUGCAACUUACAGGCAAGCCUCAUGUACCUCACCUUUUUUUGUUUGUUUGUUUUUGCUACCAGGGAUUGAACCCAGGGGCAUUAGACCACUGAGCCACAUCCCCAGCCCUAUUUUGUAUUUUAUUCAGAGACAGGGUCUCACUGAGUUGCUUAGCACCUCGCUGUUACUGAGGCUGGCUUUGAACUCACGAUCCUCCUGCCUCAGCCUCCCAACCUGCUGGAAUUACAGACAUAUAUGACUGGGCCGGCUAACCUAACCUUUUUGACAAAAGAAGGGAGACCAAGUGUGGCUGGACAACGAUUCAUUAAACCAAAUCUGAGGAGGCUUGAGCUCCAUCAGUGUUAGGAUGAGGGCCCUCCAGCAAAGUGCCUGCAUGCAUGAGCUGCUGGCCUGGCUUCAGGGAGCUUUCCAACAUUCUAAGAUCCUCCUUUAUUUUUGCACUCCCUCUAUCUGUCUUCUCUGCACACCACACCCCAGGCACAAGCUCUCAUAACUCUUCCCCUUCUUAGUAAGCCAACAUCAGCCAUGAGUAACCACCUCCCUUCUAGAAGUUUCCUUUCACCCAGGUCUUUGGAGUGUGAUUAUCCAGCCAAGGUUUAAUUCCAAAUUUGGUCAGUACUUGUGGCCAAAUGUACUCCCAAUGUUCAUUAACCAAAGAAAUGUUCUCAGGCUUUGGAUCCUAAGUAAUGGUUCCCACCUUGACCGGUCCUACCGUUUACAGUCACAGGAUUUAGGAAUUGCUGAUAUUUACAGACCAGACUCUAAUUCAAUAUAUCUCACACUUAGAACGCUGGAAUUCCAAAGAGAAAAAACAUACAAAUGAAAUGCUUCUUGGAGACACACCCCUAGGGACUGUCAAUGCCAACAAUUCCAGGGCCAGCAUCAGGCCACGCUUGGGGGGAGCCCCAGAGGAGGCUAGGCGAGUACCUCAUUUGCAAGCCUUCCUGGUUGCCUGUAGCAGUUCAGAAUAGUAAAAAGGUUUACUUGACAAUUUUUUAAAGUAGAAAUGUGCAGAGGAUAGAGUACUCAAGUUUCUGAGGCUACGGAAAACGGUACUGAAUGCCCCUUGCAGGGGAAAGAGGGUGUGAUUUGAUUUUAGUUGGGCAAUAAGCUUGAGACUCGGAGCUUUUACAGAAAUGUCUGCAUUUCAGAUGAAGGCAAGCAUGUGCAGUCUUUUUUGUUUGGAAUGGAAAUAACUAUGAAGGCCACGCACCAUUAAGUGUUAAGGAAUCCACAAUAAUAAAGGAAGAAAAAUGUCAUUUAUAGAUACAUUUUCAUUAUAUACUAAUAUAACAUUCACACCCUGAGAGAAAACUAAUGUGAAUAAGGUAGAAAAUGAGGCCAAGUUUUUAUUUUAUUUUUUUUAAUUAAAAAGCACCUGGGGAAUAAUAGCUCUGUUAAUAAUAAUAAUAAUAAUAAUAAAAGUACACAAGAGGAACAAGAAAGAAAGAGGAGCCUAUAGUAUAUACAGACUGAAGUGAUAAGUGAAAAAAUCUGCAAAAAAACAACUAAAUUAAACUCUAAAUCUAAAGGUAUCAUCUUUCCAUGGCCUCCAGGGCCCAUCCUGUGGUUCAUACCUCUAUCCCACGUCCCCACAGCCCUUCAGACCUGCACUAAGGCACCUGCUGGUCCACGUGACACUGGCCUCACCUUUGGGUCCCUUGGUUAGACUGAGGAUUCUGGAGGAAAGACACUAUUUUUUUAAACACUGUAUUUCAAAGUGUGCUAUGAUACAUUCAUGGGUCACAAAAUCAAGAGAAUGGGUCACAACCGCUAUUUGUUUUAAUGGAACAGAACAGAAUCAAAUAGAAUAGUCAAGAACAGAAGAGAUGCACAGUCGUGUACUGUGAAAUUCGUGUUUGUCCCAUCUGGUAAGUAUGUGUACACUGAGCCUGGAGUAGCAUACUCCUUGCUGGGAAGCUGGGUCAACAUUUGGUAAACGCUGGUCCAAGACAAUGGAUUCCAGGGUUCUUUUCUUUCUCACCACUUCUAGGAAUAAAAGCCUCUCCCAGCAGGAAUGGAGGGCAUACUCAAAUGUGAGGCUUAGGGCUGCACUUGAGGAAUAGCGAGGACAAUAAGGCAGAAGCUGCAUCAAAAUAAAGCAGGAAGCUAAGUACAAGUUCUUCAUGCAUUUAAAAUGAUACCUGUAGCCAUGUGU